rnacentral:rRNA from 1 species
GAUGAAUGCUGGCGGCGUGCCUAACACAUGCAAGUCGAGCGGCAGCGCGGGGUGCUUGCACCCUGUCGGCGAGCGGCGAACGGCUGAGUAACGCGUAGGAAUUUGCCCCAAAGUGAGGAAUAACUGCCCGAAAGGGUAGCUAAUGCCGCAUAUGGUCUUCGGAUUAAAGGAUUUAUCCGCUUUGGGAGAAGCCUGCGUUGGAUUAGGUUGUUGGUAGGGUAAUGGCCUACCAAGCCGACGAUCCAUAGCUGGUCUGAGAGGAUGAUCAGCCAGACUGGAACUGAGACACGGUCCAGACUCCUACGGGAGGCAGCAGUGAGGAAUCGUCCACAAUGGGCGAAAGCCUGAUGGAGCAACGCCGCGUGAAGGAUGAAGGCCUUCGGGUUGUAAACUUCUUUUAUGAGUGAAGAAUAUGACGGUAACUCAUGAAUAAGCACCGGCUAACUACGUG